rnacentral:rRNA from 1 species
AGCGAACGCUGGCGGCAGGCCUAACACAUGCAAGUCGAACGAAGUCUUCGGACUUAGUGGCGGACGGGUGAGUAACACGUGGGAACGUGCCUUUAGGUCCGGAAUAACUCAGGGAAACUUGUGCUAAUACCGAAUGUGCCCUUUGGGGGAAAGAUUUAUCGCCUUUAGAGCGGCCCGCGUCUGAUUAGCUAGUUGGUGGGGUAAUGGCCCACCAAGGCUACGAUCAGUAGCUGGUCUGAGAGGAUGACCAGCCACAUUGGGACUGAGACACGGCCCAAACUCCUACGGGAGGCAGCAGUGGGGAAUCUUGCGCAAUGGGCGAAAGCCUGACGCAGCCAUGCCGCGUGGAUGAUGAAGGUCUUAGGAUUGUAAAAUCCUUUCACCGGUGAAGAUAAUGACUGUAGCCGGAGAAGAAGCCCCGGCUAACUUCGUGCCAGCAGCCGCCGUAAGAC